GAUGAACGCUGGCGGCGUGCCUAAUACAUGCAAGUCGAGCGAACAGACGAGGAGCUUGCUCCUCUGACGUUAGCGGCGGACGGGUGAGUAACACGUGGAUAACCUACCUAUAAGACUGGGAUAACUUCGGGAAACCGGAGCUCAUACCGGAUCAUAUAUUGAACCGCAUGGUUCAAUAGUGAAAGACGGUUUUGCUGUCACUUAUAGAUGGAUCCGCGCCGCAUUAGCUAGUUGGUAAGGUAACGGCUUACCAAGGCAACGCUGCGUAGCCGACCUGAGAGGGUGAUCAGCCACACUGGAACUGAGACACGGUCCAGACUCCUACGGGAGGCAGCAGUAGGGAAUCUUCGGCAAUGGGCGAAAGCCUGACGGAGCAACGCCGCGUGAGUGAUGAAGGUCUUCGGAUCGUAAAACUCUGUUAGUAGGGAAGAACAAAUGUGUAAGUAACCAUGCACGUCUUGACGGUACCUAAUCAGAAAGCCACGGCUAACUACGUG
rnacentral:rRNA from 1 species